UGGCGGCGUGCUUAACACAUGCAAGUCGAGCGGUAAGGCCUUUCGGGGUACACGAGCGGCGAACGGGUGAGUAACACGUGGGUGAUCUGCCCUGCACUCUGGGAUAAGCCUGGGAAACUGGGUCUAAUACCGGAUAUGACCUGCUCUCGCAUGGGGGUGGGUGGAAAGAUUUAUCGGUGCAGGAUGGGCCCGCGGCCUAUCAGCUUGUUGGUGGGGUAAUGGCCUACCAAGGCGACGACGGGUAGCCGACCUGAGAGGGUGACCGGCCACACUGGGACUGAGACACGGCCCAGACUCCUACGGGAGGCAGCAGUGGGGAAUAUUGCACAAUGGGCGAAAGCCUGAUGCAGCGACGCCGCGUGAGGGAUGAAGGCCUUCGGGUUGUAAACCUCUUUCAGCAGGGACGAAGCGCAAGUGACGGUACCUGCAGAAGAAGCACCGGCUAACUACGUGCCAGCAGCCGCGGUAAUACGUAGGGUGCGAGCGUUGUCCGGAAUUACUGGGCGUAAAGAGUUCGUAGGCGGUUUGUCGCGUCGUUUGUGAAAACCCGGGGCUCAACUUCGGGCUUGCAGGCGAUACGGGCAGACUUGAGUGUUUCAGGGGAGACUGGAAUUCCUGGUGUAGCGGUGAAAUGCGCAGAUAUCAGGAGGAACACCGGUGGCGAAGGCGGGUCUCUGGGAAACAACUGACGCUGAGGAACGAAAGCGUGGGUAGCAAACAGGAUUAGAUACCCUGGUAGUCCACGCCGUAAACGGUGGGCGCUAGGUGUGGGUUCCUUCCACGGAAUCUGUGCCGUAGCUAACGCAUUAAGCGCCCC
rnacentral:rRNA from 1 species